AAUUUUGGACAAUGUGUGAAACCCUGAUCCAGCCAUCCCGCGUGUAUGCUGAAGGCCUUCGGUUUGUAAAGUACUUUUGGCAGAGAAGAAAAUGUACCUCCUAAUACGCGCUACUGCUGACGGUAUCUGCAGAAUAAGCACCUGCUAACUACGUGCCAUCAGCCGCGGUAAUACGUAGGGUGCAAGCGUUAAUCGGAAUUACUGGGCGGACAGCGUGGGUAGGCAGGUCGGAAAGAAAGAUGUGAAGUCCCAGGGCUCAACCUUGGAACUGCAUUUUUAACUGCCGAGCUAGAGUAUGUCAGAGGGGGGUAGAAUUCCACGUGUAGCAGUGAAAUGCGUAGAUAUGUGGAGGAAUACCGAUGGCGAAGGCAGCCCCCUGGGAUAAUACUGACGCUCAGACACGAAAGCGUGGGGAGCAAACAG
rnacentral:rRNA from 1 species